GAUGAACGCUGGCGGCAUGCCUAAUACAUGCAAGUCGAACGGACCGAAGGGAAAGCUUGCUUUCCUGGAAGUCAGUGGCGAACGGGUGAGUAACACGUAGGUAACCUGCCCAUGUGCCCGGGACAACGCCUGGAAACGGGUGCUAAAACCGGAUAGGUAGAGAGAUCGCAUGAACUUUCUAUUAAAGGGGCUACGGCCCUGAACAUGGAUGGACCUGCGGUGCAUUAGCUAGUUGGUGAGGUAACGGCCCACCAAGGCGACGAUGCAUAGCCGACCUGAGUGGGCGACCGGCCACAUUGGGACUGGGACACGGCCCAAACUCCUACGGGGGGCAGCAGUAGGGAAUUUUGGUCAAUGGGGGGAACCCUGAACGAGCAAUGCCGCGUGAGUGAAGACGGUCUUCGGAUCGUAAAGCUCUGUUGCGAGAGAAAAACGACACGGAUAGGGAAUGAUCCGUGGGUGAUGGUAUCUCGCCAGAAAGUCACGGCUAACUACGUGCCAGCAGCCGCGGUAA
rnacentral:rRNA from 1 species